rnacentral:lncRNA from 10 species
UCUUCAUUGCUGACUUCUGGCACUGGAAUGUGGGUGGAAAUAAAGUGCACCACUUCCUAACUUAGCUCAUGAAAAUCUUCCAUGUGCCCUCUUCUUUAGCUGGCUGACUGGAGAGGACUCCAGAGACCUAUGAGAAUGAAUAACUAAGACAGAAGAGGCCUGAAUUAAAGUUUGCUGUGAGUCCCUUGCCACCCCCAUCAGUUGCAAACAAGAAUUAGUAUUUAUUUUGUUAAGGCACUGAAACUUGGGGGAUGUUUGUUUCAGCAGUUAGCCAACCCUGAUUAAUACACUUCAUUGGAUUAUUAUGAAGAUUACAUGAGGAAUCUUUGUAAAGUGCCUGAUAUAAAUUAGGUGUUUGGUAAAUGAUAGUUUUCAUCACCAUCAUCCUUUACACAUAUAAACAGGUAAGCAUUCAAGCAUUGCAGGUGCUAAGAAUUACCCACAUGACCAGAUUCUACAGGAUCUGAACUGGCAGAAUUGACAUUUUGCUGCCACUAUUAUAAUUAGACCCACCGUUACAAUUUCCGCUAUUUUUUAGUUGUAUAGGUGGAUAAUUCAUUUAAUGAUAGAUUUUGAGGUUAUAUGUUUCAUUCCUUUAUUGGCUUGUUAGUUUUAUCUAGUAUAAUCUUAACAUAUGAUACCCCUAACUUAAUUUGUAUGUCUUAUACCUGUAAUUGUGUCACUAUUCAAGAGCUAGGAGAGAGAGAUGAGAUCAAUGAUGUUCAACAGAAAUCUGAUCCAAGCCACAUACUUGAUUUAAAAUUUUCUAAUAGUCACAUUAAAAACGGUAAAGAAAAAACCAGGUAAAAUGAAUUUUUUUUAAAUUUUAUUAUUAUUAUACUUUAAGUUGUAGGGUACAUGUGUGCAAUGUGUAGGUUUGUUACAUAUGUAUACAUGUGCCAGAAUUUUAAUAGUAUAUUAUUUAACCUAAGAUUUCUAAAAUAUUAUUUCAACAUGUAAUAAAUAUUAUUUGUAUUCUUUUUUGGUGCUGAUUCGGAAAUCAGUAUGUGUUUUAAACUGACAGCACAUCUCAAUUGGACUAGCCUAAUUUCAAGUGCUCAAUAGUAACAUUUAUAUAGUGGCUACCAUAUUGGACAGUUCAACAAUAGAUAAUUCAGAAAAGAGCUAUUACUACAGCUGAAAGAAACAAGAAAUGUCAAAGUCACGUGCCACCAAUACUGGGUUCGCCACAUUUUCUUUGUACAUGAAGGAUAGCUUAUUUUUAUUGUUCUGGGGAAACAGAUGAGGAUCACAUCACCAGGAUGCUCAUCCAGGAGAUGAGCAUUUUACAUAUGAGAUGUUAUUUAUUGGGAGACACAAGUCCUGAACCUUCAUUGUAGCUCCACCUGCUGUGGUACUUUGCAUAUAGAAGUCUCUUGCAGAGAGUCAUUCAUGGAGGUGAUCAAUGUUCACAUAAUUAUGUGUUCAAUAUUCAUACAUUUAUAAUAAAAAUAUGUGUAUCUCUUACAAGAAACCAAACAUUCUGAGCUCAUAUCCUAAGGGAAGCCAUGAACCUGAAAUACAAUAACCCUAAAAUUUAAAAGCAAUAAAAGU